rnacentral:rRNA from 1 species
ACUGCAGAGCUAGGGAGUGGGAGAGGUAGACGGUACUCGGUAGGAAGGGGUAAAAUCCUUUGAUCUAUUGAUGACCACCUGUGGCGAAGGCGGUCUACCAGAACACGUCCGACGGUGAGGGAUGAAAGCUGGGGGAGCAAACCGGAUUAGAUACCCGGGUAGUCCCAGCUGUAAACUAUGCAAACUCAGUGAUGCAUUGACUUGUGGUCAAUGCAGUGCUGCAGGGAAGCCGUUAAGUUUGCCGCCUGGGAAGUACGUACGCAAGUAUGAAACUUAAAGGAAUUGGUGGGGGAGCACCACAAGGGGUGAAGCCUGCGGUUCAAUUGGAGUCAACGCCAGAAAUCUUACCCGGAGAGACAGCAGAAUGAAGGUCAAGCUGAAGACUUUACCAGACAAGCUGAGAGGUGGUGCAUGGCCGUCGCCAGCUCGUGCCGUGAGAUGUCCUGUUAAGUCAGGUAACGAGCGAGAUCCCUGCCUCUAGUUGCCACCAUUACUCUCAGGAGUAGUGGGGCGAAUUAGCGGGACCGCCGCAGUUAAUGCGGAGGAAGGAAGGGGCCACGGCAGGUCAGUAUGCCCCGAAACUCUGGGGCCACACGCGGGCUGCAAUGGUAACGACAAUGGGUUUCAAAUCCGAAAGGAUGAGGUAAUCCUCAAACGUUACCACAGUUAUGACUGAGGGCUGCAACUCGCCCUCACGAAUAUGGGAUCCCUAGUAACUGCGUGUCAUUAUCGUGCGGUGAAUACGUCCCUGCUCCUUGCACACACCGCCCGUCGUUUCAUUGAAGUGAGCUCUUAGCGAGGUGACGUCUGAUUGGCGUUAUCGAACUUGGGGUUCGUGAC